rnacentral:tRNA from 1 species
GCGGGAAUAGCUCAGUUGGUAGAGCGUCAGCCUUCCAAGCUGAAUGUCGCGAGU